UGAGUAACACGUAUCCAACCUGCCGUCUACUCUUGGACAGCCUUCUGAAAGGAAGAUUAAUACAAGAUGGCAUCAUGAGUCCGCAUGUUCACAUGAUUAAAGGUAUUCCGGUAGACGAUGGGGAUGCGUUCCAUUAGAUAGUAGGCGGGGUAACGGCCCACCUAGACGAUGAUAGGUAGGGGUUCUGAGAGGAAGGUCCCCCACAUUGGAACUGAGACACGGUCCAA
rnacentral:rRNA from 1 species